UUGUUGUCUCCCAUUUUCAUGAUAAGAGCAACAUAUGUUUACAGAAUAUUUGAGGAAAUAACACUUCUUCUCUUACAUUUCUAUUCUCAUUUUAAAAAAACAACGUAGCAAGUGGGAUAACAAUCAGCAAGAAAAGUCAGAUUUGAACGGUGGAUGAAGAAUUCGGUGGUUGUCCAAUGAGAAGUGUCCAUUGCCUCUCCUAUGCUCAAGAAGUGUCAUAAUCUGCAGCAGAAUGAAGGGGAAGGUUAUGAUUAAUUAUAUGCAUAUUUCUACAUAGAGUGGAGGGAAAAGGCUAUGAUUUAUGAUAU